rnacentral:sRNA from 1 species
GUUUGGUGGAUGAUUUCUUGUUGGUGACACCUCACCUCACCCACGCGAAAGCCUUCCUCAGGACCCUGGUCCGAGGUGUCCCUGAGUAUGGCUGCGUGGUGAACUUGCGGAAGACAGUGGUGAACUUCCCUGUAGAAGAUGAGGCCCUGGGUGGCACGGCUUUUGUUCAGCUGCCAGCCCACGGCCUAUUCCCCUGGUGUGGCCUGCUGCUGGACACCCGGACCCUGGAGGUGCAGAGCGACUACUCCAGGUGAGCGCACCUGGCCGGAAGUGGAGCCUGUGCCCGGCCGCGGCAGAUGCUGCUGCAGGGCCUCCCAUCCACUCCUGCUUCCGUGUGGGGCAGGCGACUGCCAAUCCCAAAGGGUCAGAGGCCACAGGGUGCCCCUUGUCCCAUCCAGGGCUGAG